GGCCCAGCGGACAACUUGUCUGUAUGCUGCCAGUAUUGAUUGUCUUAUACCAAUGGCAUCAAAAAGUGACUUACAGGUUUGGUCCUCCAUAAGACGGGACUAAAAUGUUAUUUGAGGACUACCGGACAUUCAAAAUACAUCCUAUAGGCUAAGUUAAGUGUAUUGUCUUUCAAAAUGUGCGUCUCUCUCUGUCAUUGGAUUGCAAUCAGAUGAGGGGCGUUUAUAUGUAGUCUCAGUAUGGCAGCCGCAGCGGACGGAUAGGCUACCAAAACGCCAACUAGCGAUCUGAAACAAUGGCCUCAGCACCUGAAGGGUUUUUUUUUUUUUUUAGGGAUAGAGUGACCAGACGUCCCGUUUUUCCCGGGAGUCACAGUUCAUUGUCGAUUAACUUAAAGUUAGUGAGGGCGGGAUAGGCGGUAUCGCGCUGAUAGAAGUGCUCUCUCUCGCGCACGCUCCACUUCUUCAGUUCUCAUACAGCGCGCGAUCAGUUCUCGGUGCUCAAAUACACACACAGCCAGGGGCGUAAAUUUCAUCUGACAGUAGGGGGGGGGGGGACAAUAAACGUAAAAUUUCUCAAGAGCAAUUUUUGAAGGGGACACAAAUAAUACAGCCAAAAUUGUACUUAUAAGGAUAGAUAUGUGUACACAGCAUAUGUACAUAGCAUGGAGACCGUGUUUAAAUAUGAGUUCAUGGUUCACCACGCGGUCAUAUUAUAAUUAUUAUUUUGCUUCAUCCAUAGUAUUUUAGGUUUCGUCUGAAGCCUAGCACGUCUCUUUCGCAUUAAUUCAACCGCAUUAAACCCACUGAUCUGCCACUUAACAUCAUAUUGAACGAAACCCAACACAUAGGUCUACAAUAUUAGCCUAAUAUCAGUUCACACACAGGUUUAUCGCCGUGUUAGUUGUAGUGGGUGACAAGCUACGGUAUUAAGCUUGUCAAACUUAUAAUCGCUCAUAGAAAAUACAUCGGAUGUCAUAAUUUUUUUGUAAUGACUAAUUUAUUAAUGAUCCAGCAUCAUCUGUAUUAAAGAGAAAGAAUAAUUUCACCCGAUGUUUAAAAGAGAAUAAAAUAGCCUUGACAGCCUACUUACACAUAACUAACUUGCUCUCUCCCGCCGGACUCGUGUGUGUGCAUCGGUAAAGAAGGAAAGCAGGCAGUGGACCAAACCACUGUGAGGAAAGGGAGGGGGGAAUCAAAACAUUUCUGAACUUAAAACGUUUUUUUGCGUUUAUUUUGUUUUACUAGUCACACAGUUAUUUUAAGUAUAUGUCCAUUAUAUUAUUUUCAAUACACAGAGUCACUUGUAAUGAUAUUUUUAGGGGGGACAAGCCUCAGAUAGGGGGGGUCCUGUCCCCCGUCCCCCCCGGGAUUUACGCCUAUGCACACAGCAGUUCAAAUGUGUAAAGUAUCUCACGUAAAUACAGUCAGUUAUGGCUUAAGUGAGCGUAAACAGGUGGGUGAAAACUGAAUGUGUGUCAGUAUUACAUGCAUGCCUUCCAUCUUAAAGGGACAGCAUUCCUAUCCGUGUCAUAAAUGUUAACUAACAAAAUAUGUUAAAUAAAUGUAGAAUUAAGUAAAGCUACUGUAUCUGAAAAAAGAGUUUAAUUUGUAUCUCUACCAAAAAAUAAAAAUUUAUUCCAGUUUUUCCAAAUUCAAUCCUUGAUUCAAAUUUCUCAUAAGCUUAAUUGAUUUGGUCUAAAGAGAGAAGAAUUGAUGCCUAUUUUUGUUUGAAUACCACAUAUAAAAUAGCUACCAAAAUAAAUGUUGUUAACGGCACUUUGACUAAAAGUUGACAAAAAUACAGUGAAUUAAAAUGUGACUAAGACUAUUAAGGAUUUUCGUCUCAAGAUAAAGACUACGACUAAAUCAGAAAUGCCUGCCAAAAUUAACACUGUCACCAAGGCUACAUUUGUUAGAUAAACAGUAAAAACUGUAUUAUUGUGAAAUAUCAUUACAAUUUAUAAUAGCUGUUUUCUAUUUGAAUACAUUUUAAAGUGUAAUUUAUUCCAUGUGACGCAAAGCUGAGAUUUCAGCAUCAUUACUCCAGUCUUUUAUGCUGAUUUGCUGAAACUUUAAAAAAAAAAAAAAUUAUUAUCAAUGUUGACAACAGUUACGCUGCUUCGUAUUUUUGUGGUAAUUGAGAUACUUUGUUUUUCAAGAUUCCUUGAUCAAUAGGAAGCUGCAUUUAUUUGAAAUUUAAUAUUUUGUAACAAUGUAAAAAUCAACAUCCUUAAACUUGAAACUUUGAACAGAAGUGUAACAAAUUGAAAUAUUUCUUUAACAUUUUCUGACAUUGCAUGCUGAAAUCUCACAAUUAGUUGAAUUCCCCCCAAAGGGUUAAUUCGCUUUUAUUACUGCAUUAGUGUUUUAUUCGGACACACUACAUUAGAGUUUUCAUAUGGUAAAAGGCUUUGAGUGAAUGUUCUUGAGAUUUUCUCUGUGUCUUAUAGGCAGUAUCCCAUCAUUGUCUGGCGAAAAAAGCAGUAUUCUGCCAAUCUCGUCAUUCUGUGUCCCUGGGCGACAAAGAGGAAGGAAGACUGACAGUUACACUAGCAUCUAGCGAUAAAGAGGUGUGUCUCGUCUUCCUCCUUGAUUGUCCUGUGUAUUUAAGGCCAUUCCUCCUCCAUGGCUCCUACCUCCGUUGGCUCCACCGUGGGCCAUCAUCAUGGUUGCGGCCUGGGUCCAACUUGGCUCCUCUUGUUCCGGCACCCUCCUCUCUCCUCCCUGGCUCCUCCCUCCUCCGUUGCCUCCCUGGACUCUGUCUGCCCGCUCCCCGGGGGGAGUAA